rnacentral:rRNA from 1 species
UACGGGGGGGGCAAGCGUUGUUCGGAAUUACUGGGCGUAAAGGGCUCGUAGGUGGCCAACUAAGUCAGACGUGAAAUCCCUCGGCUUAACCGGGGAACUGCGUCUGAUACUGGAUGGCUUGAGGUUGGGAGAGGGAUGCGGAAUUCCAGGUGUAGCGGUGAAAUGCGUAGAUAUCAGGAAGAACACCCGUGGCUAAGGCGGCUCUCUAGUACGGUACUGACGCUGAGACGCGAAAGCGUGGGGAGCGAACAGG